UACUCUGACUUCCUUCAGAUCGUAUAAAUCUUUCGCCUUUUACUAAAUUUUCCGUGGAGAGGAUCAAUAGAGGUUAUACUCAUUUUUGAUGCCCUGCUCAUUGGGGCUU